rnacentral:SRP_RNA from 2 species
GCCGGGUGUGGUGGUGGGCACCUGUAAUCCCAGCUACUCGGGAGGCUGAGGCAGGAUAAUCACUUGAGCCCAGGAGACGGAGGUUGCAGUGAGCCGAGUUCGUACCACUGCACCCCAGCCUGGGCAACAGAGUGAGACUCUGUCUCUA